rnacentral:rRNA from 1 species
AUUGAACGCUGGCGGCAUGCUUUACACAUGCAAGUCGAACGGCCGCGCGGGCUUCGGCCUGGUGGCGAGUGGCGAACGGGUGAGUAAUAAAUCGGAACGUGACCUGUAGUGGGGGAUAGCUUGGCGAAAGCCGGCUUAAUACAGCAUCCGACCAGAGGGUGAAAGCGGGGGAUCUUCGGACAACGAGCUAUUUGAGCGGACGAUGGCAGAUUUGCUCGUUGGUGGGGCAAAGGCCUACCAAGGCGACGGUCUGUAGCUGGACUGAGGAGACGACCAGCCACACUGGGACUUGAACACGGCCCAAACUCCUUCGGGAGGCAGCAGGGGGGAAUUUUGGACAAUGGGCGAAAGCCUGAUCCAGCAAUGCCGCGUGUGGGAUGAAGGCCUUCCGGCUGUAAAGCACUUUUGGCGGGAACGAAAAGGACGGUGCCAAUACCACGGUUCGAUGACGGGACCCGCAGAAUAAGCACCGGCUAACUACGUG